rnacentral:rRNA from 1 species
AACGAACGCUGGCGGCGCGCUUAACACAUGCAAGUCGAACGAGAAGGCGUAGCAAUACGCUUGUACAGUGGCGAACGGGUGAGGAAUACAUGGGUGACCUACCCUCGAGUGGGGGAUAACCCGCCGAAAGGCGGGCUAAUACCGCGUACGCUUCCGAUCUCGCGGGAUUGGAAGGAAAGCUGUCCCUUGGGGGAUGGCGCUCAAGGAUGGGCUCAUGUCCAAUCAGCUUGUUGGAGGGUAACGGCCUACCAAGGCAUCGACGGGUAGCUGGUCUGAGAGGACGAUCAGCCACACUGGCACUGCGACACGGGCCAGACUCCUACGGGAGGCAGCAGUGAGGAAUAUUGCGCAAUGGGCGAAAGCCUGAC